AUGGGUUCCCUCACAAGUUCUUGGGUGAUGGACUUGUGUGGCAGACCAAUAUGCUCCAACCAAGAUGUGGCAUCAUGUGCUUUAAAGGAAAUAUUCAACUCCUCUACCUGCAUUAAUCACCUAGUGGCGACCGGUGUCGUCGCACUGCUCGUGUUUGUGCUCAUGCUCCAGUUGCUAGUCAAAAUUCCAAAUAGCAGAGUGUCCGCGCGACAGCUCGUCUCGCUCAGCUCACUGCUGCACUUCUCCGCCAUGGUGUUCAAUGGCUGCCUGGGUUUGGUUUAUUUCGGGCUAGGACUGUGGAUGCUGGGGACUGGAUUCAAUCAGGAUGCUUCCGUUGUUUACCUUCCACAUUGGUGGCUUGUAACAUUAUCUCAAGGAUUGAAUCUGGUCCUUGCCAGCUUCGCUUUCAGCACCAGGCCUCUGUUUCUUGGGGCAGCGUUUGUUAGAUUUUGGCCGGUCCUGCUGACCAUCUGCGCAGCAUUCAUCUGUUGUUCUUCGGUUGUUAAUAUUGUUGCAGAGAAGACGAUCACCAUUAAGGCUUGUUCAGAUGUUCUGUCCCUACCAGGUGCAGUUCUCCUCCUCCUUUAUGGCAUUCGGCACAGCCAUGAUGAAGAGGGUUAUGGAGGAAGUGGAAAUGGUUUAUACAAGCCCCUGCACACGGAGACAGACAUUGAGGUAGCUGACUCUGAAAGUCAGGUAACUCCCUUUGCUAAAGCUGCUUUUUUCAGCAAGAUGACAUUUUGGUGGUUGAAUCCUCUGAUGAAGAUGGGGUAUGAAAAGCCCCUUGAGGACAAAGACAUGCCACUUUUAGGCGCCACAGAUCGAGCGCGCAACCUGUAUGUGAUGUUCAUGGAGAAGCUCAAUGACAAGAAGCAGCCGCCGUCGCACCCCACACCAUCAUUCUUCUGGACUAUUGUUUCUUGCCACAAGCGUGCCAUCUUGGUCUCGGGUUUCUUUGCUUUGCUCAAGGUUCUGUCCUUAUCCACAGGCCCAAUACUUCUUAGGGAAUUCAUCAAUGUAUCACUUGGGAAAUGCACCUUUAAAUAUGAAGGAUAUGUACUUGCUGUGGUAAUAUUUGUCUGCAAAUGCUGUGAAUCCUUCUCACAGAGACAGUGGUAUUUCCGCACCAGGAGAUUAGGACUGCAGGUGAGGUCACUCCUAUCAGCAGCAAUUUACAAGAAACAACAGAGGCUAACAAAUGCAGCAAAAAUGAAGCACUCUACUGGAGAAAUUAUGAACUAUGUGACCGUCGAUGCCUAUCGGAUUGGGGAAUUCCCAUACUGGUUCCACCAAACAUGGACAACAAUUGUUCAGCUUUGCAUUGCCCUGGCAAUUCUGUACCAUGCGGUCGGUGCUGCAAUGGUUUCGUCAUUGGUUGCCAUCAUUAUCACCGUACUCUGCAAUGCUCCAUUGGCCAAACUGCAACACAGAUUUCAGAGUAAACUUAUGGAAGCACAAGAUGAGAGAUUGAAGACCAUGUCCGAGUCACUAGUUCACAUGAAGGUCUUGAAACUUUAUGCAUAG
rnacentral:rRNA from 1 species